GGGACGUUGACCCUUUGUGGGAGAGUUGGGGUGAAGGUUAGACAAGGGGGGGUCCUCAACAAUCCUAAAAGCCUUUUUGUCAGAUACCACUCUGGGGGUCCCCUGCCUCCCAGCCUCCCCUCUCCUGGUCUCAAGCUGUCCCUCUGUGCAAUGGGGAGAUUGGGUUGAGGGACCCAGAAGCCUGCCUCUUGCUCUUAAAGGUCACUUGUCACCUCCCCAGUUGGGAAGGAGGGGCCCAGCAGGGUUGAGGAGGAGAGCCUGCAGAAUAUUAGGGGGUAGGCUGGGCUCCCAGAAGUGAGAUUCUGGGGUCCCCUAAAAGACUGCAAUGUCCAGCAGAGCCCCGGCCAUCUGGAGCAGCCUGGAGCAGGGCCAGGCCUGCCUUGCUGGAUAUGAACAGGGCCCCAGGGAUCGAGAAAAUGGGGUGAUGACUCAUACCUUGAGGAUGCAGCAUUGCAAGACUCGGAGGGAGGGAGAGACGUGAACGCACUUCACGAAUUGUAAAAUGCUGCUCAGAAUACCGAUGGAAUAUGAGGACACUGAAAUUCAGAGCUGGGAAGUCACUUGUCCAAGAUCACAUAGUCAAGAAAAGACAGAGCAGACACUUGGACUCUGGUCUUUGAGUUUCAAGUCUGGGUCCUUUCCACUGCCCUCCCCGCCACCCCACCCCUGACUCCCCACCCCCAACCCCCACCCUAUGGUCCAGAAAGGAAUUUCACAGGAGAAUGGGGCCCUGCCCUGUCACCCCCACUGGCCUCAGCAGGAGAAGAUGCUGGCAUCAGGAGUGUGGGUACCACCCCGACCCAUGUGCCCUCACAUCAGACCCUGGCGCUGGCAGCAAGGGGCAGUGCUGGAGAAGCACCGUUUAAAACAGAUAGAGCCAGUCGACAGUCUGGAAAAUUCUGCUGAUCAUCGGAUUGUGUAAAGUUGUGGAAGCUUUGGUUCUCAUCAACGCAUACUCAAAACGCAAGCUAUUUCCCGUCAGGGAGAUACUUAAGACAGCGACAGGCUUAGCUAUAAAAGCACCAUUAAUUUGUUCUCUCUUCUGAUGACAGUCCUAUGAAAUAAAUCUAUCAGAGGUCCUGC
rnacentral:lncRNA from 1 species